rnacentral:rRNA from 1 species
AUGUGGGCGAAACCUUAUUUUGCACGGAAGUUUUGUGCCAGGAUGACUAGCACACAGCGUAGCGAAAGUGCGAAUCACAUGCUCAAGAACUACGUACCUCCAGGCUGCCCUAUGAAUCUUUUUGUGAAACAAUAUAGCAAGCUUCAAAUCGACAGAGACCGGGAAGAAGGUUUCCAAGAAAAACGUACAAGACUGGGAGGUGUUGUACUGAAGGCAAACAUUCCACUGGAGAAGCACGCAAGCAAAAUAUACACGAGGACAAUGUUUGAAAUGUUCUGUUCUUAUAUGUAUGCAGCUGGCUCAUACACUGUAUCGGAGAUAACACCGAAGAAAUUGUACAGAGCAACUCAUGUGAAUGCAGAGAAAAGAAGCAAGUACUGUAAGACUGAUUUUGAAAUAGAAAUAACUGAUGAUGGGGAAAAGUACAUAUGCCAAUGCGGACUAUUCGACCACAUGGGUAUGGUAUGUUGCCACAUAAUCAAGGUGAUGAUGGUAUUGGAUGUUAAAAUGAUCCCGGCACACCAUGUCAUGAAACGAUGGACAAUAGAUGCACGUGACAUCCUACCUGACCAUCUUAAACAUUACGAGAAAGACAUGGGUCCUAUUGAAUCUCCAACAUACAGACACUCUGCUUUGUACAAUGCCACACUUGAGCUGGUUAGACUUGGCGACACAAAUGUUAAGAGUUACGAGUUCACUAUUAAUUACAUAAAGGAAGGAUUAUUGAAUGUGGCCCCUCUUUGCAAUAGGGGAGAUGGCAUGAGUGUGUUGGACAAAGCUUCAAGCGUUGCUAGGUCAAAUGCAACAAGCAAAAUCAGGGGAGAUAUGAGCAUGAACAUGCCAGCUGAUGCACAAGAAUUUUCAGAACUCCGUCACAUUCAUAUGGCAAAAUGCACAAGGUCUGAAAGUUCGUGCAUGAAUGGAGGUGAUGCUAACGAAGGUGAAAGUUCAGAGUCAAUGAACGAUGUAUUCUCACCUGAUAGAAGUCACCAUGAGUUAUCCGCACCACCUCCAAAGAGGUUGAAAGGCAGACCUACAACAGCAAGAGAGAAGGCGCCUUAUGAGAAGAAUGUUAAGAGAUCGAGAUUCUGCAAGAUUUGA